CAGUUGAUCAGGAGAAACAUGGCAUACUCUGCAAAGCCUUCUCACCUUCUUCUCUUUGUUUUCUUUCUCUCAUCACUUGAAUCCAUUCUUGCAACAACACGAGAAGGAGAAGCUCUUGUGAAAUGGAAGAAUAGCCUAGCCCCUUCUUCUUUUCUCGAUUCUUGGUCCCUCACCAAUCUCGAAAAUCUUUGUAACUGGACUGGCAUUACUUGUAACUCUGCAGGUUCAGUCUCUGAGAUUAAUCUCUGUGAGAAACAACUUAAUGGAAUGCUGUCCGAGUUUGGUUUCACUUCAUUUCCAAAUCUCAACUAUCUCACACUCGCAGACAACUUCUUCUCCGGUCCAAUACCACCAGCCAUUGAGAAUUUAACACAGCUUCAAUAUCUUGAUUUGAGAAAUAAUUAUCUAGAUGGUCCCAUUCCGUUCCAGGUUAGCCAUCUUCAGAGCUUGCUCAUAUUAAACCUGUCACAGAAUGCAUUGCAAGCUACAAAUUGGUCCAAUUUCUCUCCCAUGCCUUUUUUGCGCAUCCUCAACCUCAGUAGCAAUCAUCUUGUAUCGAAAUUCCCAGAAUUUAUAUCCAAUUCUCAUAGCUUGGCUAUCCUUGACCUUUCACAUAACAACUUUACAGGUGAUCUUGUGCGUGAAUUUACCAAUCUACAAAAUCUUGAAACCCUCUGGCUUUAUUGUAAUUCUUUUGAGGGGCCAUUUCCGCCGGAUAUAUUCAGGCUCUCCAAAUUAAAACGUCUCUCCCUGUCAAGUAACAAAUUUUCAGGUUCAGUUCCCAAUGACAUAAGGUUGCUUUGUGAUCUUGAAUCCUUAAACUUAAGCAACAAUUCUUUUGAAGGACCGCUUCCACCAAAUUUAUUCAAGCUUUCGAAAUUAAAGAGUCUUUUUCUUUGGAGUAAUAAGUUUUCAGGUUCUAUUUCCAAUGAUAUAGGUUUGCUUUCUGAGCUUGAAUUUCUCAAUCUUUACGAUAAUUUUUUUGAGGGGCCGCUUCCAUGCAUCAAAUAUAUUCAAGCUCUCCAAAUUAAGGGUUCUUUACCUUAACGGUAAUAAACUUCUAGGUUCUCUUUCCAAUGAUAUAGGUUUGCUUUCUGAGCUUGAAACCCUCAAUCUUCGCUCUAAUUUUUUUGAGGCUCCGUUUCCGUCAAAUAUAUUCAAGCUUUCCAAAUUAACAAUUCUUGACCUCGCAUACAAUAGAAAUUUAUUUGAAGGAAGUUUUCCUAUUGGACUGGGACUCUUGACUAACCUCAGCUACUUAGAUCUAACUUCCACUAAUCUCAGUGGCUCAUCUGCCAUUGGAAACCUCAAGCUACUACUAUAUCUUGGUCUCAGUUAUAAUCAAUUGACUGGACCGCUUUCAAACAUUGUUUCUAAUCUAACAAAUCUUAUAUUUCUUGGUGUGGAUCAUAAUAGUCUUAGUGGAAAUAUUCCGAGUGACUGGUGGAAAGCCUCUGUAUCCUUACUUUACAUUGAUCUUGGAUAUAAUUAUUUGUCUGGGAACAUUCCUAAGGAAUAUAAAGAUCAUCCAACUUUGGAAUACAUCGAUUUAAGUGGGAACCAUUUUACAGGUGAGCUUCCAACAACAAUUUGCAAUGCUACCUCCCUUUCGGUUCUUGCUUUGUCAAAUAAUGGAUUAAGUGGUGCACUUCCAAACUGUAUUGCGAAUCUUGCUGAUGGAUUGCUUUACAUUAAUCUUGCUAAUAAUCAGUUUCGAGGAGCAAUACCAACUACUUCAUCCAAAAGUUGUCAGCUGACCUAUCUCAACAUGGAUAAUAAUGAGUUUGAAGGAUUGCUGCCCCCAUCUUUGGCGAACUGUAAGCACUUGAAGAUUCUUGAUAUUGGCAAUAAUAAAAUAGGUGGUACAUUUCCUUCAUGGCUUUAUGCACUUGGAGAGCUAGAAGUCCUUGUCUUGCGAUCAAAUAAACUCUAUGGUCCAAUAAGUGGGAGGAGCAUAGAAAAUCCCUUCCCCAAGUUGCGGAUUUUGGAUCUGUCCAACAAUCAAUUCUCAGGCCAUUUGCCAAUUCAAUACUUCAAGAAUAUGAAAUCAACUGAUAAAUUGUAUCGCUAUCAGAAUGCCACAACAUUAACGGGUUUCCAAUAUGAUGCAUCAGUCCCAUUAACUGUGAAGGGAACAGAGUAUGAAGUGAAAAAUAUCCUUCAUAUUUACACAGCCAUUGAUCUGUCCUGCAACAAGUUUCAAGGAGAAAUUCCUGACGUUAUUGGAGAGCUUAGAUGGCUUGCAUUGCUGAACUUAUCUCAUAAUAGUCUAACAGGACCUAUCCCAUCAUUGCUGAGAAAUAUGAAAGAACUCCAAUCUUUAGAUUUGUCGUCAAAUCAACUGACAGGGGCUAUUCCACCUCAGUUAACUGCACUGACAUUUCUAGAGGUCUUCAACCUCUCGGGAAACCAUCUUAGUGGAGAGAUUCCUCAGAAAGGACAGUUCAGCACAUUUAACAAUGAUUCUUAUCUAGGAAACUCCGCGUUAUGUGGAUCACCAUUGACGAAGAAAUGUGCAAACACAGCAUCACCUCCACAAGAAGUCGGAAAUGUUGAUGAAGAUGAUGCGGGUGAUGAAUUGACAUGGGAAGCAAUCUUGAUGGGAUAUGGAUGUGGACUGAUAUGUGGAUUGUCAUCUGCUUACAUUGUUCUCAAACUAGGAAAGCCUUGGUGGUUUGUGAGAUAUAUCGAAGUGCUGCAACUGAAGUUGAUGAAAAGAUAUGCAUGAAGAAUGGUACUGGCCCAUCAAGACCAACUUGAAAGUUGUUGGACAUUUCUGAACCAGUAGUGUACUAUUCUCUUUGUGGCUGCAUAAGUUUUUGGUAUUGUGUAAUAUUCUGUUUGGUCUUGAAUUUCAGGGGUAUUAAUAUAAACCUUGGUAUUGUGUAAUAUUCUGUUUGAUCAAUGUUUAUAUCAAUAAUUUUAUGCUC